rnacentral:rRNA from 1 species
AAGUCGAACGCGAAAGUCCCCUUCGGGGGACGAGUAGAGUGGCGUCCGGGUGAGUAACACGUAGGUAAUCUACCUUCGGGUGGGGAAUAACGCAGGGAAACUUGCGCUAAUACCGCAUAAUGCAGCGGCACCACAUGGUGACAGUUGUUAAAGCGGGGGAUUUUCGAACCUCGCGCCUGAAGAGGAGCCUGCGGCAGAUUAGCUAGUUGGUAAGGUAACGGCUUACCAAGGCGACGAUCUGUAGCCGGCCUGAGAGGGCGGUCGGCCACACUGACACUGACAUACGGGUCAGACUCCUACGGGAGGCAGCAGUCGGGAAUUUUGGGCAAUGGGCGAAAGCCUGACCCAGCAACGCCGCGUGAAGGAUGAAAUCCCUCGGGAUGUAAACUUCGCAAGAAUGGGAAGAAUUAGCGAGUAUUAAUACUGCUCGUGAUGACGGUACCAUUUGUAAGCUCCGGCUAACUCCGUGCCAGCAGCCGCGGUAAUACGGGGGGAGCAAGCGUUGUUCGGAUUUACUGGGCGUAAAGGGCGCGUAGGCGGCCACCGCAAGUCAGUUGUGAAAUCUCCGGGCUUAACUCGGAAAGGUCAACUGAUACUGCGCGGCUAGAGUGCAGAAGGGGCAACUGGAAUUCUCGGUGUAGCGGUGAAAUGCGUAGAUAUCGAGAGGAACACCUGCGGCGAAGGCGGGUUGCUGGGCUGACACUGACGCUGAUGCGCGAAAGCCAGGGGAGCGAACGGGAUUAGAUA